UGAAAUAUCAUAUAUUUCAUAACAUUUUGCCAAAGGAUUAAUAGGGAAUGACUUUGGAAAUAUGCUUUCAACAAUCAAUCAUAUGCAUGUAGAAAAAUUACUCCACUUCCUUUGUUUGGUUUGAAAAAUAAAGUAGUGUAUUUUUUGGGUAAUACAGGAAGUUUUCUGAAGCAAGCCUUAUCACUCGAGAUAUCACAAGUGAAUAGAAUAUGAUGAAAUUGGGAGGGGCAUUGCAAGAGUUAAUUCAGUUUGAGGGCAUUCUCCAGUUAUGAUUCUGGGGUAAUGCUUCGUUUAGUACCAAUCAGUCUAAGCCCAAGCUUUGGCCUUUUAGCAUAGUUCAGCUUUAGACAGAAUCGGCCACCCUUGAAGCUUUAUGAAGAUCAGAGCCUUGAAGCAUAUGACCCUAGAUACUAGAUUUUGCACUAACUGUAGCUAUUUGAUCUUUGCAUUACCUGCUGUAUAUGUAUAUCAGCUCUUGAUGCAUUAUAUCUCACGUGGAUAGUGUUAUCAUAAUAUUUUUGUUCGGUUUAAAAUCUUGUGUAACUGGAUGAGUUAUUUUGUGCCAAGAGUUUGACCAUCCCUUUUGCUACUGA